AAUCAGUUGAGACAUGUUUUGAAGAAAGGUUUACCUGCUUUUAUUGAACGGUACACUCAUUUCAAACAACAAAUACAAUACACAUAUGAAAAUGAAUAUAAAGACAGUGAUGAAUUAUAUAUAUAGAGAAAUUAUAUACAUAGAGAAAUUUCAAACAAAGCCGCAGUUUUGACUGCCAUGAUAACGGUGUGAUAACACAGCUUUGAUUGAGUUAUUUGUUCUGAUAAGAAAGAAAUAUGAAGUGAAAAUAGAAUUUCAUCGGUGGUAAUACUAUAUCUGUUGUGUAAUAAACAGAAUCACACAAUAUAUAUAUAUACCUGGUAUAUAGAUUUAAUUUCAUAUGAAUUUCCUGAAACUCCCAGAUAUUUUCUUUUCACAAAGGUCAUAGAAAAUGGAAAAUAUGUCCAGAGAUUGGACAAUAAAUCGUUUACAGUCCUAAGACAUACAUUGUACUUCUAAUGCAGACAUUGAUAUUUGACAAACCAAGUGAUAAAUUACCACAGGGACCAAGCAUUAAAUAUUAUCUAUAUAUACAUAUAUGGAUCAUGCAUAGGAAACCAUUGCAAAGUCCCCGUGGGUAUAGUGAAGUGCACAAAAAAUAUACAUAGGGAUUUCAAUUCAUCACAAUUUCUUCCCUUGUUCCAAUGUUUCCACUAUUUUGGAAGAAAAGUAGGGUACAAAUUCAUUCAGUUCAAACAAUUACAAUAAAGAUACAAAGUAUAAAUCGUAUAUAAACAGUACUGAAAUACAUAAUUAUGUAAUAGAUACAUAAUGGGUACGAGUGAUGUAUCGGAUAUAUCACACGAGUGCGUAGCACGAGUGUGAUAUAUGCGAUACGUCACGAGUACCCAUUUUGUAUCUGUUUUAUCCAAUGACAGUCGAGGUUUUGUCACCCACGUGCCUAGGGGUGGAGCUAUAAAAUUGAUCAGAACCUGUCACUGUGAUAUGUUUCCCGCCAAUUUCUGACACGUUUUGUUUUCUGUCACAGUAGCCCAUUCAUUUCUAGUGAGACUGUCAACCAUGACGGAUCAGGUACUGAUCACUGAUGUCGAUGUGUUCACUGACCUCGACGAUAUAACAUUAUCACAGGCCGUAGAUAAGUAUGAGUAUGAACUUGAAGAUAGUGACACGGUAGCUACUGACAUUGGAAUAGUUGAUACCAAGGAAUUAACUCAGCCAAUUGUUGUAAAUGAACUGAAUGGUAAUGUGAAAAACAUGUGAAAGGCUGCAGGAUUCGAGGGAAAUUACAUAAACCAUUCCGGAAAGAGGACCUGCGCUACUUCCCUUUACCAAGCAGGUUUUGAUGAACAACUCAUUAUGGACAGAACGGUACAUCGCAGCAGGGCUGUACGUGCAUACAAGGUGAAGAAAGAAGACGGAAAAUUUCUAAACGGCACUCGUAUUUCAUUAAAUUUUGUUUGAAAUGCA